UACGAAGGGGGCUAGCGUUGCUCGGAAUUACUGGGCGUAAAGCGCACGUAGGCGGCUUGUUAAGUCAGGGGUGAAAUCCUGGAGCUCAACUCCAGAACUGCCUUUGAUACUGAGAAUCUUGAGUACGGAAGAGCGAGUGGAAUCCUGGUGUAGCGGUGAAAUGCGCAGAUAUCAGGAGGAACACCAAUGCGAAGGCAGCUCGCUGGGACGUUACUGACGCUGAGACGCGAAGCGUGGGGAGCAAACAGG
rnacentral:rRNA from 1 species